CGGUAUCAUAGAGAAGCCUUCCCGUGGCGAUACUGUUUUGACUAAUUCUCU
rnacentral:ribozyme from 1 species